CGUGCCAGCAGCCGCGGUAAUACGGAGGAGGCAAGCGUUUUCCGGAAUUAUUGGGCGUAAAGCGUCCGCAGGUGGCGAUUCAAGUCUGCUGUCAAAGCACGGGGCUUAACUCCGUUAAGGCAGUGGAAACUGAAUGGCUAGAGUGCCGUAGGGGUAGAGGGAAUUCCCGGUGUAGCGGUGAAAUGCGUAAAGAUCGGGAAGAACAUCGGUGGCGAAAGCGCUCUACUGGACGGCAACUGACACUCAGGGACGAAAGCUAGGGGAGCGAAUGGGUUUAGAUACCCCAGUAGUC
rnacentral:rRNA from 1 species